GGGACCAUCCAGUCACCUUCAACGCAGGUAGGUUUGCUGAGAGGCUCCCUGCGUGACACUUCAUCCAAUCAGACGUGAAGCUGGCCCGAGACGUGGAGCCAUGCUGCGUACCCAAGUGCCCCGGCUUCCCGGGUCCACAACCGCCAUUGUCUGGUCGUGCCAUCUAAUGGCCGCUGCCUCCGCCAUGGCUGGACCUUCCUCUGAGACGACCUCUGAGGAACAGCUGAUCACCCAGGAGCCCAAAGAGGCCAACUCCACGACGGCCCAGAAGCAGAGCAAGCAGAGGAAGCGAGGGCGCCGUGGGCCCCGCAGGUGCCACUCCAACUGCUGCGGGGACAGCUUCGCCACCUAUUUCCGCCGGGUGCUGAAGCAGGUUCAUCAGGGCCUCAGCCUUUCCCGGGAAGCCGUGAGUGUCAUGGAUUCUUUGGUUCAUGACAUAUUGGACCGCAUCGCCACCGAGGCUGGUCGCCUGGCCCGCUCCACCAAGCGCCAGACCAUCACCGCCUGGGAGACCCGGAUGGCUGCGCGCCUGCUGCUGCCGGGGCAGAUGGGCAAGCUCGCCGAGUCCGAAGGCACAAAGGCUGUCCUCAGAACUUCACUGUAUGCCAUACAGCAACAGAGAAAGUGAAUACGCUGAUACAAGAAGCAAGAGGAUCUCCAGCCGCCCGAGUAUGUGGACCAGAGAACAUACUCUGGGAUUGCCACCCACAGGAAUUUAUUGUAUUGUGCCUUGAAGCUCAAUAUGUGGCCAUUUUUCUCAAAUGUUUCCCGUGAAUUUUGAAACAUCUCAUAAACAACCCUUCUCCUUCAUAUGUGGAAACCAGUAAAGGGUGGCACUCUCAGUCAAACCAUGAAACGAAAGCUGGAAUAUUAGAAAAAUGUCAUGAAAAUAGUUGAAGAGAAAUGCUCACUGCACGAGGAGACCAAGAAACGCCCCCCACGAAAUCAGCCACAACUAAAUCGCUCUGGACGGUGCCGCCAGGUGACCCUACAUGUCCGGAGCAACACUUUGAAAACCAAAGACGCUUGGCAGAACCCUGUUCCUUUCCAGAGACGGAGCUGUGUACCUGGUCUAAAACACCACAUCUCACUCAGUGACUUAUUUCUCAUUAUGCUAAUUGUUUUUGCUUUAAAGCGCCAAUCUUUCUGUCAAAUGGGACAUACAAAUAAAUUUCUAAAAUUAUC